UGGCCGAAUCUUCUGCUUCUUCUCAUUAGCAUCCUUCACUAUCUCCUCCAACUGUGUUAAACUCUCGGGCUGGUGGAACACACGGGUCUGUACCUCGUGGGUCCCGCUCCAGUUAACCACCGUGUGCAGGUCAUCGGGCAGUGGGGCGUACCGGAAAAGUUGGGCUUUUUUGUGUUUUGCGUUUUCUGGAAAUGGGAAUGAGUAGUAGGUGGCGGCGGCGCAGCCUAGAAGGAGUGCGGAGUAUCCUAGGUAUUUUCGGAGUUGGGAGGAUGGGGUGGCGGAGAGGGGUGGGUCUGGUGGCGGCGGUGGUGAGGAAGAUGAGAAUGGACGGAUGAGAUUUAAUUGAGGUUUAUGGGGAUUUGUGAUGAAGGAUUGAAGGGGUCGCUUGAGUUUGAGUGAUCGGAACAUUGGUGGUGAGUUUGCCGGUGAUGCAUUCACCUGAUUUGUUGUGGCAGUGAUGAUGAACACAACUCUCACUUAA
rnacentral:lncRNA from 1 species